rnacentral:rRNA from 1 species
CGAGCGGAAGGCCCUUCGGGGUACUCGAGCGGCGAACGGGUGAGUAACACGUGAGCAACCUGCCCUAGGCUUUGGGAUAACCCUCGGAAACGGGGGCUAAUACCGAAUAUUACCUCUUGUCGCAUGGUGGGGGGUGGAAAGUUUUUCGGCCUGGGAUGGGCUCGCGGCCUAUCAGCUUGUUGGUGGGGUGAUGGCCUACCAAGGCGACGACGGGUAGCCGGCCUGAGAGGGCGACCGGCCACACUGGGACUGAGACACGGCCCAGACUCCUACGGGAGGCAGCAGUGGGGAAUAUUGCACAAUGGGCGGAAGCCUGAUGCAGCGACGCCGCGUGAGGGAUGACGGCCUUCGGGUUGUAAACCUCUUUCAGCAGGGACGAAGCGUAAGUGACGGUACCUGCAGAAGAAGCACCGGCCAACUACGUGCCAGCAGCCGCGGUAAGACGUAGGGUGCGAGCGUUGUCCGGAUUUAUUGGGCGUAAAGAGCUCGUAGGCGGCUUGUCGCGUCGACCGUGAAAACUUGGGGCUCAACCCCAAGCCUGCGGUCGAUACGGGCAGGCUAGAGUUCGGUAGGGGAGACUGGAAUUCCUGGUGUAGCGGUGAAAUGCGCAGAUAUCAGGAGGAACACCGGUGGCGAAGGCGGGUCUCUGGGCCGAUACUGACGCUGAGGAGCGAAAGCGUGGGGAGCGAACAGGAUUAGAUACCCUGG